rnacentral:lncRNA from 1 species
GGGUGAGGCAGGGGCUGGCAUGAGCUGACCUACACUGUGGGAAGAUGCCUCUCGACAAGGACAGAAGCAGGAACAAGCCUGCAGGCGGGGAGGCUGGGGAUGGUGCUGGUGACCAGGGGGAUGGAGACAGUGGACAGAUCCAAGGACCAAGGCCAGUGGGCUGGGCAGUAGACUAUAUUUGAGAGGCUGGAGGAGACGACAGUGACCUAGGCCAGUGACAGAAGCCCAUGCCUUCAGGGUAGGGAGCCUCCUCCUGCUCCAGCAGCUGCUCUCCAGGACAGAUCAGCCAGGGGUAACCCUGGGGCCCAGGCCUCUAUCCCCCAUCUUGGUGAUGCUGGAGAGAGGGUGCAGGGCAGAGAGUCAUGGCCUUGCUGCCCUGUCUGGGGGUGGCAACUGUCGAAUCGCCUGCACAGUAACCAUCUGGAACCCUGGGACACAGGCAAGGCCACAGGGACCAGUUCUUGCUCCACGGCCUUCUUUUGUCAGCAUCACCCCCAUUUUCCAGAUGAAGGAAGGAUCUGACACUCAAAAGAGAGCUCCCCUCGGCUGUGACAUCUUCAGAAGGAAACAUCUCAGCUCUGAAGUGCUGACUUCCCUCUUGCUGCAGGACACAGCGAGAAGGCAGCCUCUGUAAGCCAGGAAGAGAGGCCCUGCCAGAGCCCGGCCACGUUGGUGCCUUGCUCUUGGACUUCCAGCCUCCAG